rnacentral:siRNA from 1 species
UUUUUUAUUAUUAGGUGUCAG